UGCAAGUCGAACGGUGAAGAGGAGCUUGCUCCUUGGAACAGUGGCGGACGGGUGAGUAACACGUGAGCAACCUGGCUCUAAGAGGGGGACAACAGUUGGAAACGACUGCUAAUACCGCAUAACGUAUCGGGAUGGCAUCUUCCUGAUACCAAAGAUUUUAUCGCUUAGAGAUGGGCUCGCGUCUGAUUAGAUAGUUGGCGGGGUAACGGCCCACCAAGUCGACGAUCAGUAGCCGGACUGAGAGGUUGAACGGCCACAUUGGGACUGAGACACGGCCCAGACUCCUACGGGAGGCAGCAGUGGGGGAUAUUGGACAAUGGGGGCAACCCUGAUCCAGCGACGCCGCGUGAGGGAAGAAGGUUUUCGGAUUGUAAACCUCUGUUGACGGAGAAAAAAAUGAUGGUAUCCGUUUAGAAAGCCACGGCUAACUACGUGCCAGCAGCCGCGGUAAUACGUAGGUGGCAAGCGUUGUCCGGAAUUACUGGGUGUAAAGGGAGUGUAGGCGGGAUAUCAAGUCAGAAGUGAAAAUUACGGGCUCAACUCGUAACCUGCUUUUGAAACUGACAUUCUUGAGUGAAGUAGAGGCAAGCGGAAUUCCUAGUGUAGCGGUGAAAUGCGUAGAUAUUAGGAGGAACACC
rnacentral:rRNA from 1 species